UCUCCGUUGGUGAACCAGCGGAGGGAUCAUUACAGAGUUUUUAACUCCCAAACCCUUUGUGAACUUACCUUAUUGUUGCCUCGGCGAGCCCCUGGGAUUCGUCCUACGCCCGCCGGUGGCCCGUUACUCUGUCUCGCGCGUUGGCAUCUCCGAGUACAUACAAAUAAGUUAAAACUUUCAACAACGGAUCUCUUGGUUCUGGCAUCGAUGAAGAACGCAGC
rnacentral:misc_RNA from 1 species